rnacentral:rRNA from 1 species
AGUGAACGCUGGCGGUAGGCCUAACACAUGCAAGUCGAACGGCAGCACAGGAGAGCUUGCUCUCUGGGUGGCGAGUGGCGGACGGGUGAGGAAUACAUCGGAAUCUACUCUGUCGGGAGGGAUAACGUAGGGAAACUUACGCUAAUACCGCAUACGACCUACGGGUGAAAGCAGGGGAUCUUCGCACCUGGCGCGAUUGAAUGAGCCGAUGUCGGAUUAGCUAGUUGGCUGGGUAAAGGCCCACCAAGGCGACGAUCCGUAGCUGGUCUGAGAGGAUGAUCAGCCACACUGGAACUGAGACACGGUCCAGACUCCUACGGGAGGCAGCAGUGGGGAAUAUUGGACAAUGGGCGCAAGCCUGAUCCAGCCAUACCGCGUGGGUGAAGAAGGCCUUCGGGUUGUAAAGCCCUUUUGUUGGGAAAGAAAUCCAGCUGGCUAAUACCCGGUUGGGAUGACGGUACCCAAAGAAUAAGCACCGGCUAACUUCGUGCCAGCCGCCGCAGUAA